rnacentral:rRNA from 1 species
UGGUGGAGUGAUUUGUCUGGUUAAUUCCGUUAACGAACGAGACCUUAACCUAUUAAAUAGUUGUGCUAACUCGGUUCUUGCGACCCUUCGGGGAAGCGGAUCCGUGAACGUUUGUGUUUGACUUCUUAGAGGGACUCUAUGCAUUUAUAGCAUAUGGAAGUUUGAGGCAAAAACA